rnacentral:rRNA from 1 species
UACGGAGGGUGCGAGCGUUGUCCGGAAUCAUUGGGCGUAAAGGGCGCGUAGGUGGCCCGGUGAGUCUUUGGUGAAAGCGCGGGGCUCAACCCUGCGUCGGCCAGGGAUACUGCCGCGGCUCGAGCACUGUAGAGGCAGGCGGAAUUCCGGGUGUAGCGGUGAAAUGCGUAGAUAUCAGGAGGAAUACCUAUGGCGAAAGCAGGUAUCUGGGCCAUCACUGACGCUGAGCUGCGAAAGCUAGGGGAGCAAACAGG